rnacentral:lncRNA from 1 species
AACUUGUAAAAUAGACACCCUGGGCUGCCUAGGAUUUGUGUUUUGUACUCGUUCGGGAUUCAGGCUGUAUAUGAGUUAGUGAGGACUGAAGAGAGGAGAGUUAAACAAACAAGCAAACAAACAAACACACAGGGCAAGAAAACAGGACCCAACAGCAGACGCUGACACCCUCCCGACCUGCAGUGCAGAGUGAUUCCAAGAACCGCGCGCGACAUUCCGUGUCUCAGGAAAGAUGGUACCCACACUAAGCUCAGCCAAGAACGGCCUCCGCGCCCGCUUAAUUUUCCGAACCUGUUCUUGUGGUGCUGAUGGGGAGGGUGGCCGGGAAGAGAGGAGAGACCACUGAUCAAGUUGCUGUUUGUAUAUUGGUUGAUUGCUGUUUGCUGUUUGUUUAUUGAUUGAUUUUUUUUUAUUGGCCCCUGGCCGAGGAUGAGCUAAGAAGCCUUUUGCAUACCUUGACCUGACCUCACUUAUCCUUCCACACUUCUACACCCUUUUCCUUCCUGCGCAGGGUCCUGAGCAGGUCUAAAUCAAGCAGUGCUUAGAGCCUCCCACAACGGGCCUUCAACCAUAUUUGGAAGAAAAGAAGGAAUCCAGAGAGGAAAUGGUUACCUGUGCUUACAGGCGGUCUGCACCACAAGCGCUGACUCAGCAAGAGGGAACUCUGCGUACCCCUGUCCCGAAAGCCCCUUGAGCAAGGACGUCAGAAAGAGACUAAAAUGGAGGGACAGCCUCCGAGGGCCCUGGAGCAGGGUAACAUGAGAUCUAUGACUAUCUAGUCAUUCGCUACCUGCAUUUGAAAGCAUAUGCAUUAUUAUGGUUGUCACCAUUUAUAGUAGUAUACUUAGACGUUGUCCAUCGAAUCUGGACGCAUACUCAAUUUGAAACUAAAUAAAACCUAAAGGAACAUAGGUGACCAUGAGGGACUCCAGGGAACAUUCUCUGGGACGGAACUCUGUGAAGAGUGGAGAAGAGGCCUCUAGGAUCAAGCUAUUCAUCAUGGAUACAGCCUCAGAUCCAGGACCUCCACCCUCUGGUGCAGUAUUUCCAGGAUAUUAGUGGGGGACUGUGGACCAUUCAAGCCUUGGAACAAGUCUAGCCCAACCACUGUCUAACUUUGCUGCUGACGGAAGCCUGACCCAGCCCUGACCUCGUAGACCUUAUAGGAAUAUGUUCUCAGCUCACUGCUCCACAUUUCUGGCCCUGUGACCUCACCAAACAAACACCUGCCUAUCUCAGAGCAUUGUAUCUAUUCAUGUUGAUUUCUGUCUCUUCCUUAUUAGUCUCUUGCACAAACCAUGAACUGGAUGAAAGCAAGAACGGGAUCGUUUGGGUUCUGUGGGUGACAUCAGGACUUGACUGUGGACUUGACUUGCAUCUGGCACAGCCUGCUCGCCAGCUCCUAUUCCCUUGCCCACCUGUUCUUUGACCUUGAACGCCCAACCCCUUUUUCUUGGCAUCAGUAUCGUCCUCUCUAAGAGCAGAGAUUAGGAUUAAUAAAUCUAUGACGUGCUUGUCACAGGGACUAAUGAGACUGUA